rnacentral:rRNA from 1 species
UACAUGGGGUGCAAACGUUGCUCGGAAUUAUUGGGCGUAAAGCGCGCGUAGGCGGUUACUUAAGUCGGAUGUGAAAGCCCUCGGCUUAACUGAGGAAGUGCACCCGAAACUGAGUAGCUAGAGUACUAAAGAGGGUCGCGGAAUUCCCGGUGUAGAGGUGAAAUUCGUAGAUAUCGGGAGGAACACCGGUGGCGAAGGCGGGUCUCUGGGCCGUAACUGACGCUGAGGAGCGAAAGCGUGGGGAGCGAACAGG